CUCCAGACUCCUACGGGAGGCAGCAGUGGGGGAUAUUGCACAAUGGGGGGAACCCUGAUGCAGCGACGCCGCGUGAGUGAAGAAGUAUUUCGGUAUGUAAGGCUCUAUCAGCAGGGAAGAAAAUGACGGUACCUGACUAAGAAGCCCCGGCUAACUCCGUGCCAGCAGCCGCGGUAAUACGGAGGAUGCGAGCGUUAUCCGGAUUUAUUGGGUUUAAAGGGUGCGCAGGCGGUCUGUUAAGUCAGCGGUCAAAGCCCGGGGCUCAACCCCGGGCCGCCGUUGAAACUGGCAGUCUCGAGUUGGAGAGAAGUAUGCGGAAUGCGCGGUGUAGCGGUGAAAUGCAUAGAUAUCGCGGAGAACUCCGAUUGCGAAGGCAGCGCACCGGCGCCCUACUGACGCUCAGGCACGAAAGCGUGGGUAUCGAACAGGAUUAGAUACCCCCGUAC
rnacentral:rRNA from 1 species